rnacentral:tRNA from 1 species
AAGGGUAUAGCUCAGUGAUAGAGUGUGUGCUUAGCAUGCCCAAGGUCCUGGGUUUAAUUCCCAGUACCUCCA